GAGCAUGCGCAAAUCAGCCCGGCGGGACACAAGUGUCAUGGCGCUCUCCAUCUGAAGUCUGUGCAGUUUCCUGGCAGGGGCUUGUGGUUUGUUCCUCUCAGUUCGGACAGAUCAUCUUUCAAGAGGACUUGAGACCAAUUUCAGAUAAUCAAGAUGCCUUCUGAGUCUUGUGAUGUACUGCUGGAUGACAUAGAAGAUAUCAUAUCACAGGAAGAUUCAAAGCCACAAGAUAGACAGUUCUCAAGAAAGCAUGUGUUUCCUAAAGUACGAAGGCGGAAUACCCAAAAAUAUUUGCAAGAAGAGCCCAGGCCACCAAGUGACAGCACUAUUCCAGGCAUACAGAAAAUUUGGAUACGAACAUGGGGCUGCUCACAUAAUAAUUCGGAUGGAGAAUACAUGGCUGGACAGCUUGCUGCCUAUGGCUAUAAAAUUACAGAGAAUGCAUCAGAUGCAGAUCUGUGGCUCCUGAACAGUUGUACUGUGAAAAAUCCAGCUGAAGACCACUUUAGAAACUCAAUCAAAAAAGCUCAAGAAGAGAAUAAGAAAGUUGUCCUCGCUGGCUGUGUUCCCCAAGCCCAGCCUCGUCAGGACUACCUCAAAGGACUGAGCAUCAUCGGGGUUCAGCAGAUAGAUCGUGUGGUAGAAGUUGUGGAGGAAACAAUAAAAGGUCACUCAGUGAGGCUCCUGGGCCAGAAGAAAGACAACGGGAAGCGCUUGGGUGGAGCUCGACUGGAUUUGCCGAAGAUCAGAAAGAAUCCGCUGAUCGAAAUCAUUUCCAUCAACACCGGGUGUCUCAAUGCUUGUACCUACUGCAAAACUAAACACGCCAGAGGCAACCUGGCCAGCUAUCCCAUUGAUGAACUUGUGCAGAGAGCCAAGCAGUCCUUUCAAGAGGGCGUUUGUGAGAUAUGGCUGACCAGCGAGGACACCGGGGCCUAUGGCAGAGACAUUGGCACAGAUCUCCCCACACUCCUGUGGAAGUUGGUGGAAGAGAUUCCUGAGGGUGCCAUGCUGAGGCUGGGCAUGACAAAUCCACCAUAUAUUUUAGAACAUCUGGAGGAAAUGGCAAAAAUCCUCAACCACCCCAGAGUCUACGCUUUCCUCCACAUCCCAGUGCAGUCUGCCUCUGACAGUGUGCUCAUGGACAUGAAGAGAGAGUACUGCGUGGCCGACUUCAAAAGAGUUGUGGAUUUUCUCAAGGAGAAGGUUCCUGGAAUAACGAUUGCUACGGAUAUUAUCUGUGGUUUUCCUGGAGAAACCGAUCAGGAUUUUCAAGAAACAGUGAAACUUGUUGAAGAGUACAAAUUUCCAAGCCUCUUCAUCAACCAGUUCUAUCCAAGACCCGGAACUCCCGCUGCAAAAGCCGAGCAGGUUCCAGCACACGUGAAAAAACAAAGGACAAAAGAUCUUUCUCGGGUGUUUCAUUCCUACAAUCCAUAUGAUCACAAGAUUGGCGAAAGACAACAAGUGCUAGUCACAGAAGAGUCUUUUGACUCCAAGUUUUAUGUUGCUCAUAACCGAUUCUAUGAGCAGGUUUUAGUACCAAAGAACCCUGCAUUCAUGGGGAAAAUGGUUGAAGUCGACAUUUACGAAUCAGGAAAACACUUUUUGAAAGGACAGCCAGUAUCAGAAACCAGAGUGUAUACACCAUCCAUCAGCAAGCCGCUGGCCAAGGGAGAAGUCUCAGGUUUGACAAAGGCUCUGGAUUAUUUAUGAAGGCACAGAGGGAGAGAGACACACAUUGGACAAAAUUCAAAUGUGAUAUAUGGACACGCCCCUUCUUUGGCUGCGAUUUGUGCAAAAUCACAUCCAGGCUAUAGCCACAGCCCCUGGGGCUCAUCUCUGGUCUGAGGUACAAGAAGCUGGCAACACACUUUUCACACAGGACAAAGCCAUGCUGGCUGUUGAUUCUAAAGGCCCCGUCAUCCAGACUCUUGUGCUGUUAUUGGAAAAAAAACAUGAGACUGGCCAAAAGCAGCUCGGGUCACAUUAUCAGGGAUAGAAGUUCUUUGAUUGACUCAAAUAAAACAACCUGCACUUGACAUCAUAAAAAGAAGUGUUUCUUCAUGAAAUAUGAACUUCAACCAAACUGUGUGUUGCAUCUCAGCCAGAGCCUAUGUUCUCCACUGAAGAAGUUAUUAGAGAAAAAGGCCAACCUUCCAUUUGGACGGUGACCAAUCAGAUUAGCAAUUCCUCUUAGAAGGCAAAAAAGCAGAGGCAGUUAUGUGCGGAGACUUUGACUGAACUCGGGCCUAGGAUGUGACAGGUCCUGUCAGUUGUCACUUCACUGGGUCAAGGCCUGGUCAGAACCCGUGCUCUGUCUAAUCCAGGGCUUCAGGUUGGUAUUUCUUCCCUGAAUGACCUCUAUGUAGUUUGUGGUUUUGCUCAGUGAAGGUUUUUCCAGAAGCCAAUGUGAGAAGCAUGGGUUCUAAGAGCGUCUUUGAUGAGAACCUUAAAAUGAUCUGGCAUCCAAAAUGUUUGGAAAACUUAUCAGACUUUAAUCCCUACUUGGGGAUUCAUAACAAACACAGAAGGCCUUCUUAAGCUCGGGUCAUGUGGAGUUUCUCAAACACAUGUGACUCCAGAAUGUCUUUUUCUUACCAGCUACACGGAGAGAGACGUGUUCUGGAAAACACUGGCAUAACAGCAAACAUUGGAUCCAAAGAGGCUGUGUCUGUGUCUACACUGACUUUCUGACUGAUCCUAUCAGGAAGAUAUCAAUGAGUCUCCAUUAGCUACGUAUAGAAUGAGUCUACACUACACUGGCCUGAUCUGUCUGUCAUGCAGUAGGAAAUAAAUGCCAAUGCCAAUAGCUCUAAGAUAAUGACAGGGGCCAGUGAGAGGGCACAGCACAUAAACUCUUGCCACACAAUCCUGAUGACUUGAGCUUGACCCCUGGGACCUAAAGGACACUGACUCUUUAGAGCUGUCCUCUGCCAUCCACACAUGUGUGUCUAUUCUCUAAUCACACAUCAUACACAUGAUAAUGGUUAAUAAUAAUAAACAAAGUAAUGGGCUAUUAAAAUAUUAAUUUAUAUAUGUAUAUGCCAUAGAUACAAGGAGCCAGCUGACUACAGCCUAUUCAGUAAAGCCGGUCCAUGGCUUUGUUUUAUAAAUAAAAUUUUAUUAGAACACGGCCAUGCUCGUUUAUUUACACAUCAUCUAUGCCUAAGGAUGGGCUGCAGUGCAGAACUGAACAAUUGAGGCAGAUGAACAAUUCCUCCCGGGAAAGUAAAAAGCAAAGGCAGUUGCAACUGGCAAGGAGCAAAGUGUGCUUUUUCCUGUGUGGUUUGUAGAGAGCCCCAAAGUGUUUGCUGUUUGGCUGUUCACUGGAAAACAGAAAGGAAAACAAAAAUGUGCUGACCCCUGACUUGUAAUCAAGGAUAAUACAUA